UGCGUAGGAGACGAGCGUUGUCCGGAGUUACUGGGCGUAAAGGGUGCGCAGGUGGCGGCGCGCGUGGGGGGUGAAAUCGCCCGGCUUAACUGGGCGGGGGCCUUCCAGACGGCGUGGCUUGAGCAGCGGAGGGGGACGUGGAAUUCCGGGUGGAGCGGUGAAAUGCGUAGAGAUCCGGAGGAACACCGACGGCGCAGGCAGCGUCCUGGCCCGCUUGCUGACACUGAGGCACGAAAGCUGGGGGAGCAAACAGG
rnacentral:rRNA from 1 species